rnacentral:lncRNA from 1 species
UGUGACUUGAAGGAAGCUUCAGAUUCAUUCAGCUCUGCCGUUAGGUGGCAGCAGUACAACAUGAAAAACAUUUAAGGCACUAAUGGAGUAAAAAUGGUGACGAUGAUCGUAUCAUGAUGGUGACGAUGGUGAUGAUGGAUUCUUGACAGUGGUGGCACACAAUGCUCUGGGCAGGAGACUCUGUUUCCACCAACCUAGGCCAUGCACAAAUCUCAUGCCUCAAACGUCUCCAGAGGUCAAAAAUCAGAUACUAGAGUCAGUGAACCAGUGUAUCAUCUUGCUUUUCUCCUAAAAGAGAGAAUUCUACCAACUUCCUUAAGAAGUAAAAGCAACAAUAUAAAAAUAUUAUGGCGUGCUUCAAAGUUUGACUGAAGAGUCUCAUGAGGCCAACACAG